GACAGAGGGGGCAAGCGUUGCUCGGAAUCACUGGGCGUAAAGGGCGCGUAGGCGGGAUGGCAAGUCGGUCGUGAAAUCCUUCGGCUCAACCGAAGAACGUCGGCCGAUACUGCCGUUCUUGAGGGAUGCAGAGGAGAUUGGAAUUCGCGGUGUAGCGGUGAAAUGUGUAGAGAUCGGGAGGAACACCGGUGGCGAAGGCGGGUCUCUGGGCAUCUCCUGACGCUGAGGCGCGAAAGCGUGGGGAGCAAACGGG
rnacentral:rRNA from 1 species